UAAUACUUAGGAAUCUACCUAGUAGUGGGGGAUAGCUCGGGGAAACUCGAAUUAAUACCGCAUACGACCUACGGGAGAAAGGGGGCAACUUGUUGCUCUCGCUAUUAGAUGAGCCUAAGUCGGAUUAGCUAGAUGGUGGGGUAAAGGCCUACCAUGGCGACGAUCUGUAGCUGGUCUGAGAGGAUGAUCAGCCACACCGGGACUGAGACACGGCCCGGACUCCUACGGGAGGCAGCAGUGGGGAAUAUUGGACAAUGGGGGCAACCCUGAUCCAGCCAUGCCGCGUGUGUGAAGAAGGCCUUUUGGUUGUAAAGCACUUUAAGCAGUGAAGAAGACUCCAUGGUUAAUACCCAUGGACGAUGACAUUAGCUGCAGAAUAAGCACCGGCUAACUCUGUGCCAGCAGCCGCGGUAAUACAGAGGGUGCAAGCGUUAAUCGGAAUUACUGGGCGUAAAGCGAGCGUAGGUGGCUUGAUAAGUCAGAUGUGAAAGCCCCGGGCUUAACCUGGGAACGGCAUCUGAUACUGUUAGGCUAGAGUAGGUGAGAGGAAGGUAGAAUUCCAGGUGUAGCGGUGAAAUGCGUAGAGAUCUGGAGGAAUACCGAUGGCGAAGGCAGCCUUCUGGCAUCAUACUGACACUGAGGUUCGAAAGCGUGGGUAGCAAACAGGAUUAGAUACCCUGGUAGUCCACGCCGUAAACGAUGUCUACUAGUCGUUGGGUCCCUUGAGGACUUAGUGACGCAGCUAACGCAAUAAGUAGACCGCCUGGGGAGUACGGCCGCAAGGUUAAAACUCAAAUGAAUUGACGGGGGCCCGCACAAGCGGUGGAGCAUGUGGUUUAAUUCGAUGCAACGCGAAGAACCUUACCUGGUCUUGACAUAUCUAGAAUCCUGCAGAGAUGCGGGAGUGCCUUCGGGAAUUAGAAUACAGGUGCUGCAUGGCUGUCGUCAGCUCGUGUCGUGAGAUGUUGGGUUAAGUCCCGCAACGAGCGCAACCCUUGUCCUUAGUUACCAGCGGUUUGGCCGGGAACUCUAAGGAUACUGCCAGUGACAAACUGGAGGAAGGCGGGGACGACGUCAAGUCAUCAUGGCCCUUACGACCAGGGCUACACACGUGCUACAAUGGUAGGUACAGAGGGCAGCUACACAGCGAUGUGAUGCGAAUCUCAAAAAGCCUAUCGUAGUCCAGAUUGGAGUCUGCAACUCGACUCCAUGAAGUAGGAAUCGCUAGUAAUCGCGGAUCAGAAUGCCGC
rnacentral:rRNA from 1 species